rnacentral:tRNA from 1 species
CAGGGAGACAACAAAAUGUUUAAUAUUAUUAUUUUGUCACCUUAGGUCGAUCGGUAUCUCACGUUCUUAACUAAUUAAGAAUUUCAAUUCCUAAGUUUUUCUAGGUCACACCCAUUAUUUUUCCUGGGCCAUUAGCUCAGGUGGUUAGAGCGCACCCCUGAUAAGGGUGAGGUCCCUGGUUCAAGUCCAGGAUGGCCCAUAUCUCUAUGUUGGGGGUAUAGCUCAGUUGGUAGAGCGCCUGCUUUGCAAGCAGGAUGUCAGCGGUUCGAGUCCGCUUACCUCCACUGAUUACCACCUCUUCCAUAAUCUGGAUAAAGGAAAUGUUUUGAGUGUGAUCAAAUUCUGAACGAAUCUAGCUUCCUAAUGAAAUUAUUAAGAUGCUGGACUCAUUGAAUUAAUUUCAUUGUUUUCAGAGAACCUUGACAACUGCAUAGAUUAUUUUUAAAGACAAUAAGCAUCUUUAAUGAUGCAGAUUUAUUAUUUGUGCGAAUGCAUUAAUAACAAUUCUAUUAAGCUGAUGCUUCAAUUUUGAAGUUAUU